GUUUUGGUUCCUUCCCCCGAAGGGAGCUGCGGUCCGCCCGCACGCCGCGGCCGUGCCCCGCGGGGACGGGGGCGGCUCGGGGCUCCCCGCCCCGCCGGGCGGAGCGCCCAGCUGGCCGGCUGCGAGCUGCCGGAGAACGGGGGGUGGUGCUUGUGGUGAUGGGGAAUAACUCGCUCUGGAAAUGCGGAAUGUGAAAUUUCCCGUUACUUGACACCAGGCCGUGGGGACCGGGGGAAGUUACCUCUCCCCAGGGCUGUCCUCUGGCAAGCGCACAAAGGUGCCCGCGUCGCCUCCCAGCUGGGGACCGCGCUACCGCGCUGCAAUUACCCCGCGCAGGAUUUCCUAUUCACAGACACUGAAUUAAUCCUUAUUCAAGGGCAGAUUUUUUUUUUCUUUACAGUUUUGUUUGCGCGGCCGCAUUUUUUUUCAUUAGCAACAAAGUUUUCUUCCCUUGCCUUUUUUUUUUUUUUCCCUCCUCGCCCAUCAGUUUUAUCAUCCAUUAAAAUAAAACGCAGUGGGGUGGUUGGGGUGGUGGUUUUUUUCUUGGCCUUUUUUUUUUUUCCUCCUCUUCUAAGCGUCAACUAUCGUUCAGCACAUUCAUUUAAUCAUCCCGACUAAUUUUCUUCACGGAAACAGACAUGAUUUAUUUAAAAACGGGACUAACAGCGUGCGAAACUUCCCCGCUCGGGCAGAGCCCGCGGCCACGCCGGUUGUAGCUAAGGUCAGAAUGACUACCCUGAGCCAGUUCUGCUGGCCGUGGCCUAGCAGAUGCUUGGAAGAUGGCAAGUGUGUGAUGAGUACUCCUUGGGAAGAUCUCUUUGUUCCAGGGACACUAGGAGACCCUGAACCACAUGCUGCAGCUGGAAUAUUUUACAGGGAAACCUACAAGGAUGAUCUAAUUCAGAGAAGACUGCAGGUUAGGACAGCACUUGGAAAGUACCCCAGGAACAGAGCCACUUCAUGAAGCUUGGAUCUGUACUGCUGUCCCAGGAAGGUCUGGAGCUUCCGAAUUUGAAGAAACAGUAAAAUGGCAGAAGUCCAUACUAGGAAAAAAGCUGUUCCGAAUAGCAUGAUAACCCUGUCAGGAAAAAGAAGAAAAAGUCCUGCCUGAUCUAAAGCUGUGGAAAACCUUGAACUCAAAAGGAAAGGCCCACUGGCAGUUUCAGAGAAACAAGAGGAUAAAUGUGCAACUGACCUCCCAUCCACACAAUGACACCUUAGAGGGUCUAAAAGUUCCAGUCGAAUCCACAAACAUUCAGGCUCAUCUUGAAAUACACAUAUUUUGGAACCCCACACUUUUCCCAGGUGAAUUGUGUAAGUCAUUAACUGGCCAGCUCAGGGCCUGAUUGUAAGAUUUGCACCACCUGUGUGCUGGAAAGAAGCUGCACAAUGUAAAAAGACCUCAAACUGCACAGCCUGAAGCAACAGCAGCUUUAUACCCGUUUGACAGAAUGAGGGUUUGAUUUCUCUGAAGUUGCAAAGACUUUGGCCAGAGACAGGAGCCUUCACUUACUAUUGUGCAGCGUCGUGUCCGUGAACUUCCAGAGUUUGCAUUAAAAAGUGACAGAACAUCAGAGUGCCAGAAGCUUCUCAUAUUGUGGCUCUGAAGGAGAAAGAUACUGAAGACAGACAGGAGCUGAAGAAACAUGCAGCAUCCUGGGCACACCUCCCGCAGCGGGAAGAACUUGGGCAAAAAGGUAUGAACACCAUUCUGCUUUUUCCUUAUGGCAAUAUCAAACUACUGAGAGCAGUAGGGAUAUUAGAAUUUAUAGCCAUAUUUGAAAUCAGUUUAUACCCUGCUUGUAUUGCUUUGGUCAGAUUAGAUAUUUAAUAAUGCAGGAUUAUUUUUUUUCCGUUCCUCAUGCAUUUUCCGCAUUUUCCUUGGGCUUUUCCUGUAGAUCAGCAUAGAUCUGUGAUAGCUCUGCUGGGGUAAAACUCAGUCGUGCUGCACCGGUUUGGUUACUGAAGGGAGCCAACAGCUCAGCAGCGUGGUUGGGUUCUUUCAAACAGUCGUUUGGCAGAAGGAUGUUUAAAAAUAAUUGUGCAUCCCCUCCCUGUCUUUAAAUAUUCAGAGGAAAAGUCGCAGAAGAACCGAUAAUGUGACAAUAAUAAUGAGGCUGAAGAACAGUAUUAUAGUGUGAACUCAUAUAUCCCCUGGUUUCAUUUACAUGUUUAGCAGCUGCUUGUUUCUCCAUCAUACAAAGAUCAUUACCUGCCUUGUAAGAAGAGAGGGGAAGUCUGUUCACCUUUGGGCAACUAGCUCUGCAUUUAUUAAUAGUUUGGGCCCAUCUCAUUAUACAUUUAAUUGCUGCAUUAUAAUUUAUUUAUUCACUGAUUUAUUGUAAUAGAGGAGUAGAAACCAAAUUACCUUUGCAGAUUACUUUGAUAGGUGGGAAAUUUGCAUGGUUAAAAAGAAACGCAACAUGCAGCGUGGAAUGGGAGCUGCUACCUAGUGAAGAGCAGCUCGACGUGUGAGCACUGGCACAGACAAGCUUGUCUCGUUAGACGGUGAGGGUGAAUCCAGCCAAUUUAUAGACGGUUUAAAAAGAAAUUACUAUGUAGCUUCCAAUUAUCCUUACAAUCUCAGAUGGCUUCAUGGAACAGGGAAACAACUGAAAAUGAAAGAUAAAUAGGAUGGGAAGAGAAGACUCCUCAAAAAUCAGAAACCUAAAGGUGGGAAGUUUGCAGAGAGUUUGGUUAAGCAAGAGCUGCCUUUCUGUUAGCGUGGGUGUCAGGCUUAGAAAAGCUGGAUUUCUGUGGCCUCUGCUGUUCCCAUCUGCAGAGCUGGGCUGAACCGAGCAGCAAAAUUCCAGGGCACCUAUGGCCAUAUUCCACCCCUACCCCCUGCAAAGUACUUGGUUGCCUAAACCAGGGCUCAAGUGGACAUCAGGGAAAGGGGCAGGGGGAUGGAGCACGAGUGUGUGGUGGGCUCCUGGUGGCACAGUGCAUGUCACCAUCCCAAGCAGAGCACAAAAGGAGGGCCCAGCCUUGACAGGGCUGUUGCAGCAUCAAACCAGGGGACGGGGAGGUCUGUGGCUGAAGGGUCAUCAUUCGGGGAGCAUCAUCAGUAACAAACAAAUGGGGCCACAGGGAGCCAGACAGAAAAUACACACGCAAAAUCAUUGCAGUUUUCAGUUAGUAAUGCACAUAUAGAACCUCCACGUUUUUCUUCAAUUAGUUUAAUUGGUAGAAUUGAUUAAUAAAUAAUGAUAUCCACUAUCAGAUUUCUGUAUACAGAAAGGUCAGUCGGCUGCAAAACUUGACCAUUAAGGCCAUAGAAUGCAGGCUGGUUUGUUUAUUUGUUUGUUUUUUAGAUUUUCUCUCCUUUUUUUGGUAGAUGUUUUUAUUGCACUCCUUUCUCAGUUAUACCAAGGCAUCAAAUGUAUUUGUCACCGCUCAUGAGUACCUGUCACGCUGGCUGUGUCCCCUUUCCCUUCACGGCCUCACGUGGUUCAGCAUCCCUGAUCCUGCCCGUGGGGCAUCGACACCAGCAGCCGGGUUGUGCUGGGGUUCAGUAAUUGCCCUUUUUUUCCUGCGUUUCACCCAGCUGGGCCUUUCCAUAGUUGCUUUAUGUGGCACAGACGUAUGCCAGGCAGCAGCUCCCUGCUGUGGGUAUCAGGAGCCCCAUGUGCCCCACACUGUCACUCUGAGCCAUGGGACACUCAGAGACAGCAGCUGCGGGACAUCCCCACACACCCCCUGCCCACCCUGGCUUCCUCCUGCCCCAAACCCUCUGCAUUCUUACAGCAGCUCAUGCAGGGUUGUCCAAGGAUCCCGUUUCACAGCUGCCAGCAGCGAAGCUCUGAGCCUAAAAGAAAACAUCAGGCUUACAGAGGCUGCAGCCACAGUGCUGGGUUUGGUAGCCGUGGCUGGACCUGCUCCUCAUGAAGUGACUGAAAAUUUUGACUCACACGAUGCUUUUUUCUUUGACGUUUCGUUUUAGCAUGAGAGCUUUUGGGUUGAAAAAUUACUACCGCAUUCAAGUUGUUUACAGUUUUCAUUAGCUUCCCCUAUGCUCUACAAAUGCCCCAAGAUCUCGCAGGUAUUUUACAUCUCCCAGUAGGUGAGGGGACACUCAGAGGUGUCAUUUGGAUCCAGGUUUCCAUUCUCGGUGCUUUGCCCUGCACAGGGGCAGCGUUGGGGCAGUUUUGGGCAGGGAGCGUGGACACGGACUUGGACACGGAUACGGGUUCCAGUGCAGAACUUGGUCCAUCACUGGCCGUGGCCAUUGGGGAAUCCCAGACAGAUGCUGCCAGCCAGAGCCUGUGCGAUACACUGGGGAUGUGUUUGAAACUUACAAACCUGUGAAAGCUUUCUGUGUAGCCCAGUUACGUUAGCCCAAAAGAAGUUUUAAGAGCAGCACUAUAAAAAUGGGAUUGCAAUAACUGUGUGGGCACAUCGGAAUAUAAAUCUUGGUUUUAAAGAGCCGGGGGUUAGAACAGGGAGCAGGUUCGCAGGCGGCACGGGCACUGCCCUCUUGUGCCCCGCUCCUGCAGUGCAGCGGAGCGGCAGCCGGAUCCACGCUGGUGCUGCUGCCGCAGAAACGUGGAGUGAGACCUGAGCACCUUCCCGUAGGGUCCACAGCUUUAGCUUUUAAAAAGUCAAGUAUUAAUCUUAUUGCAAAUUAUUAAGAAACCAAGAAAAAAAACCCCAACAUUUUACACCGCAGAAGUCGGUAACACAGUUCCUGAAAAUAUCUUGUGGAAGUAGUUUUACAAAUGUUUUAAGUAUUUGCAAUCAGAGAAAGAUUUUAACAAUACUUAAAUUGAUCACAUGCCUUUUAUAGGGAGGAAGACCCAGGUAGGACUUUUAAAUUGUUGUUGUUAUUAUUAUAAUACUCAGGAAAUUUAAAAGAUUAAACCUAUCUGUAUUCUCCUAGCACGAUGGUUGCACAUGUGUGCAGGUCUGCCUGUGGAAGCAGCACACUCCCAGAGGAGCUGGUCAUGUAGGGUCAGUAACAUGGUGAUGGAACAACUUAUCCUUGGAGCCAUCUCAAAGCAUAUCAGGGACAAGAGGGUCAUUAGGGGCAGUCAACAGGGCUUCACCAAGGGGAAGUUGUGCUUGACCAACCUCAUUUGACUUUUAUGAGGACAUAACAAGGUGGAUGGAUGAUGGCAGAUCGGUGGACGUGAUCUACCUUGACUUGAGUAAGGCAUUUGACACAGUCUCCUACAGCAUCCUCGCAGCUAAACUGAGGGAGUGCGGUCUGGAUGACCAGGUAGUGAGGUGGACUGCGAACUGGCUGAAGGGAACAAGCCAGAGAGUCGUGGUCAAUGGGGCAGAGUCCAGUUGAGGCCUGUAUCCAGUGCAGUGCCUCAGGGGGCAGUGCUGGGACCAGGACUAUUCAAUAUAUUCAUCAAUGAUUUGGACGAGGGAACAGAGUGACUGUCAGCAGGUUUGCUGAUGACACCAAGCUGGGAGGAGUGGUGACACUGGAAGCUGUGCUGCCAUCAGAGACCUGGACAGGCUGGAGAGCUGGGCGGGGAGAAAUUUAAUGAAAUAGAACAAGGGCAAGUGUAGAGUCUUGAAUCUGGGCAGGAACAGCCCCAGGUUCCAGUGUAAGUUGGGAACGACCUGUUAGAGAGCAGUGUAGGGGAAAGGGACCUGGGGGUCCUGGGGACAGCAGGGUGACCAUGAGCCAGCACUGGGCCCUUGUGGCCAGGAAGCCAAUGGUACCUGGGGUGGGUUAGAAGGGGGUGGUCAGUAGGUCAGAGAGGUUCUCCUGCCCCUCUGCUCUGCCCUGGGGAGACCACACCUGGAAUAUUGUGUCCAGUUGUGGCCCCUCAGUUCCAGCAGGACAGGGAGCUGCUGGAGAGAGUCCAGCGCAGCCACCAAGAUGCUGAAGGGAGUGGAGCAUCUCCCGUGUGAGGAAAGGCUGAGGGAGCUGGGGCUCUGGAGCUGGACAAGAGGAGACUGAGGGGGGACUCAUUCCUGGGGAUCAGUAUGGAAAGGGGCAGUGUCAGGAGGAUGGAGCCAGGCUCUUCUGGUGACAACCAGUGACAGGACAAGGGGCAAUGGGUGCAAACUGGAACACAGGAGGGUCCACUGAAAGGUAAGAAGCAACUUGUUGGGGGUGAGGGUGGCAGAGCCUGGCCCAGGCUGCCCAGGGAGGUUGUGGAGUCUCCUUCUCUGCAGACAUUCCAACCCGCCUGGACACCUUCCUGUGUAACCUCAUCUGGGUGUUCCUGCUCCAUGGGGGGAUUGCACUGGAUGAGCUUUCCAGGGCCCUUCCAACCCCUGACACUCUGGGAUUCUGUGAUAUGGUGUACUAAGCAUUCAAAAAUAAAUUCAUUUUUCCCUGCAGGCAAACUACAGUUGGCUUCUGCAGCUUUUCAUUGGUUUUCCAUUAUAGUAUCAGGUACUCACUGGUAGGUAAGUCAUAAGUAGUAUACUUAGUCCUGACUUAGUACAGUAAUUUCAGCAUUUCUAGAAAACUCAAGAAUUAGGAGAGACUAUCACCAAGCUGACAAUGAAAUCAAUAGAGCCAUAACAUUUUAAGUUUAAUAUUCAUACAGAAGGAGCACAUGGUACAUUCCUUUCCAGCAGCAGCUGAUUCUGCUCCACCUUUGGGGAAAGAAGCAAGCAAAGGCUGGUUGGGGCAGCCUCAUCCCAAGGUUUGUUUCCCUGACAUGUCCCUGGUAAGAUGGAGACUAUUUUGCACAAAACAUGGAAUGUUUAUUUAGCAAAACAGCAACAACAGAAAAACAUGCGUUGUUACAGUGUUAGAAACACACAGAGCGUUCAAGCUGCUUUUUACACCAACUCAGUUCUAAAACCAUCAAAUUCCAGUUUGCAGCAGGUUGUGCCUUGGUAUUGUAUAGAACAGGCAUCACUGGGGUGGUGCUGAGCACGUCCAGCUACUGGGGAGGGUAAAGUGCACAAGAAAAGUAAGUGCAUUAAACGAA